AGAGUUUGAUCAUGGCUCAGGAUGAACGCUGGCGGCGUGCAUAACACAUGCAAGUCGAGCGAUUCUCUUCGGAGAAGAGCGGCGGACGGGUGAGUAACGCGUGGGUAACCUGCCCUGUACACACGGAUAACAUACCGAAAGGUAUGCUAAUACGAGAUAAUAUGCUUUUAUCGCAUGGUAGAAGUAUCAAAGCUCCGGCGGUACAGGAUGGACCCGCGUCUGAUUAGCUAGUUGGUAAGGUAACGGCUUACCAAGGCGACGAUCAGUAGCCGACCUGAGAGGGUGAUCGGCCACAUUGGAACUGAGACACGGUCCAAACUCCUACGGGAGGCAGCAGUGGGGAAUAUUGCACAAUGGGCGAAAGCCUGAUGCAGCAACGCCGCGUGAGCGAUGAAGGCCUUCGGGUCGUAAAGCUCUGUCCUCAAGGAAGAUAAUGACGGUACUUGAGGAGGAAGCCCCGGCUAACUACGUGCCAGCAGCCGCGGUAAUACGUAGGGGGCUAGCGUUAUCCGGAAUUACUGGGCGUAAAGGGUGCGUAGGUGGUUUCUUAAGUCAGAGGUGAAAGGCUACGGCUCAACCGUAGUAAGCCUUUGAAACUGGGAAACUUGAGUGCAGGAGAGGAGAGUGGAAUUCCCAGUGUAGCGGUGAAAUGCGUAGAUAUUAGGAGGAACACCAGUUGCGAAGGCGGCUCUCUGGACUGUAACUGACACUGAGGCACGAAAGCGUGGGGAGCAAACAGGAUUAGAUACCCUGGUAGUCCACACCGUAAACGAUGAUUACUAGGUGUUGGAGGAUUGACCCUUUCAGUGCCGCAGUUAACACAAUAAGUAAUCCACCUGGGGAGUACGACCGCAAGGUUGAAACUCAAAGGAAUUGACGGGGGCCCGCACAAGCAGUGGAGUAUGUGGUUUAAUUCGACGCAACGCGAAGAACCUUACCAAGUCUUGGCAUCCUGCGACGAUGCUAGAAAUAGUAUUUUCCUUCGGGACGCAGAGACAGGUGGUGCAUGGUUGUCGUCAGCUCGUGUCGUGAGAUGUUAGGUUAAGUCCCGCAACGAGCGCAACCCUUAUGGUCAGUUACUACGCAAGAGGACUCUGGCCAGACUGCCGUUGACAAAACGGAGGAAGGUGGGGAUGACGUCAAAUCAUCAUGCCCUUUAUGACUUGGGCUACACACGUACUACAAUGGCGUUAAACAAAGAGAAGCAAGACCGCGAGGUGGAGCAAAACUCAGAAACAACGUCCCAGUUCGGACUGCAGGCUGCAACUCGCCUGCACGAAGUCGGAAUUGCUAGUAAUCGCAGAUCAGCAUGCUGCGGUGAAUACGUUCCCGGGCCUUGUACACACCGCCCGUCACACCAUGAGAGCCGGGGGGACCCGAAGUCGGUAGUCUAACCGCAAGGAGGACGUCGCCGAAGGUAAAACUGGUGAUUGGGGUGAAGUCGUAACAAGGUA
rnacentral:rRNA from 1 species